rnacentral:rRNA from 1 species
UACGUAGGGACCAAGCGUUGUUCGGAUUUACUGGGCGUAAAGGGCGCGUAGGCGGCAUGACAAGUCACUUGUGAAAUCUCCGAGCUUAACUCGGAACUGCCAAGUGAUACUGUCGCGCUAGAGUGCAGAAGGGGCAAUCGGAAUUCUUGGUGUAGCGGUGAAAUGCGUAGAUAUCAAGAGGAACACCUGAGGUGAAGACGGGUUGCUGGGCUGACACUGACGCUGAGGCGCGAAAGCUAGGGUAGCAAACGGGAUUAGAAACCCCCGUAGUCC